rnacentral:lncRNA from 1 species
CAUUUAUUUCUGUAUCAUGCACAAAAACAAUUCCAUUAAUACAUUUAUUGUAUUAUCCAUUUCAGUACUUAUGCUAAUACAGUCAUUUUAAUUUGGAUAUUUGAAAUUUAGAAUAGAUUCAUUGCUGUUAGUGCACUAUCUGAAGAGAAUUCUAGGUUACUUAUUUGUAAUUAGGAUCCAGACAAAUGCCCAUGUUUCUAAACACCACACAAAAACUAGCACAAGUGGCAGAGACUGAUCAUACUUCCUGUCUUCAAAAGACAAUGAUCAAUACAAAAAGUCAAUGUGAACCAUAGGUUUUUGCUUUUCACCUUGCCUGAACAAAUUUCACAAAUUCAAGAAAGAUCCUUGAGCUUUAAGCAGUCUUCACUCUUUGGGGAAAGGCAAAGGAUAGCAGCUCCUUUGUGGUAAGGACAUGAGGCAGUUGUCAGAAGACCUGGGCUAAAACCCUGGCUCAACCCAAGUGCCCCUGUGACCUUACUUGACCUCCUUGAUUCUACAAAUUAGUUUGAUCUAAAUUCUCCCCAAUGCUAAUCUGCAGUUCACAACUCCUGUGAUUCUCAGGAAGGAAGGUGUGAUGCUGGAAGAGCAUACUGGAUUAUACUAGUGAUUCUCAAAGUGUGGCUCUGCAGCAUCACCACCUGGGAAUUUGCAAGGAAUGCACAUUCUUGGACCUCCACCCCAGGUCUACAUAAUCAGCAAUCUGUGUCUUCAGAAGAUUCUGAUGCACAUUACAACGUGAGAACCAGUGGACUAGACCAAAACCACAUUUAAGAGAUUCAAAGUUCCAAAUGCAAGGUAAAGGAAAUAAAUCUAAACUCCAUCAUCAGACUCAGUUUAUCAGAUCCCAUCACUGCUGCACAACGUAGAUCAUUAAUUUUUAGGACUAUAGCAUUGAAGACAUCUAAGCCAUAAUUUAAAUACUGAAUAACCGAGAAAAAAAAUGAGGCCACAGAAGCAAAAAUAAGGGCAAUUUUAGCUACUAAUAGCCAAUAAAAGUUAAUUAUAUUUCUAACUAGGAAAGUUAGGAUUUUAUUUUAAUUUUUUUGUUUUUAUUUUUUGAGACAGUCUUGCUUUGUCGCCCCAGCUGGAGUGCAGCGGCUUGAUCUCGGCUCACUGCUGCAACCUCUGCCUCCCAGGUAGGUUUCAUUACAAGAAAGGAUUUAGCCAGGCACGGUG